AGUCAACAUGAGCAAGAGGAGAGGAGAUAUUCCACACUUUUUUGGUGCCAAAAAAAGAAGACAUGGACACGAGAAGAAGGUGUGGUGCAACCCCCAUUAAGCGAUUAUCCAGCUCUACCUUUGUUUUUCUUCACUAUACAAGCUGUAAAGAACGGAAGAUUGAAUCGUUUUGGAUAGACUGCGAAGAUCACAAAUGCCUUCAAUGAUGCACCUCUGGGAAAUAGUCACAGAUGGGGCUAGCAGUUAUUCAGAUGAAUCAGCAGCACUGCAAACAAGCUAAGCAGCUAGUGAAAGGUUGGAGGUACAAUAUUUGGCCGGGGAGGGGCAGAGAGCUCUUGCUGCCCAGGCAGGCCUGACGCCUCAACCAGGCUUUUACAGUAGGAAGGAGUGAAGCACACAGAGGUUUACCGCCAUGCUGGGAUCACCAGUUUAAUGGAGGCUCGCCCUAUCCCACAUUCAAACCCUGCAUCUCUUGGCUCCCUUCCGGCAGCUGGAGUAUACUGGGGAGCGUUCCCAUGGAAAAGCUGUUAAACUGGCCACGGUAGUGAGGAUGAGGAACAAGUUUCCAUCAUGUUCUAACUAGCUACAAAGAGAUUCACAUAUUGCACUGCCAUAUAGACUUCUCUACUGUAAGAUAGUUCUAGUAGGCUAAUUGUGAUGUAGUAAGUUUUAGUUGGCAGUUGGAGAUUUUGUCUGCUUUUUUUCUGUCGUUUUCCAGUCUAGUGGCUACAGGUGUGUACAUGACCAGGUCUAUUUCCUCCUGAACUGACCUAUGAGGGGUCUGAGUGAGCUUGUUUUUGCAUCGUCUCCAUGUUGCUAUGCAGACUGACUUUUCCAUUGGCUGGGUUUUACCAGUCAUCCUUAAAGACAAGCCUGGUCCUGAUUGUUCCGGAUCGUACGGCGGAAUCAAAUUAGGGACUGGUAAUGGCCAUAAAGUCCAUGUCUGAGGCAUUAUACUCAAGGGCGUGGGCCCACCUCACAUUUCCCAUCCGCAUUUCCUUUCGUCCUCGUUUCUGAGUGGGACUGUCAGCUUUUUUUCAUUACCAGCUAAUCUGGAGGAUUUGUAACUAAAACAACAAACAGAUAAAAACGCACAAAUCAAUGGGAGAGAGUGAUGUUCCACCAAUCAACUGUAUGUUCAUAAUUGGCCAACUCAUACAUCAUGCUUGUUCUUCUAUGAAUGGGCCCCAUGCUUUGCAGUUGUUUAUAAAAUUCGAGGUGGAUAUCCUGCUAUUUUUUUCUUCAUCAGCGUUCACUCACUUCAAAGCCUCAGUAACUAAAAUGCCAAAAGUAUCUGCAUUAACUUUUCCCCCUAGCAUAACCAUAGGUACUUUACAGAUGCUCUAUAUCAAGAUGUGGGAGCAUUUUAAACUACUUUAAUAUGUAAACAGUAGCCACCAUACAAUUACUAACUGUUACAUGUGUCUGUUGUUUGAUUAGUUAUAUCCUCAUUUACCCUAUCCUGUGGGCAUGCGAACACUGAAUUAUUGUUUGCUUUAAAUGUGAAUUAUUAAAAAGAGCCAGCAACCAA